rnacentral:rRNA from 1 species
UACGGAGGGGGCUAGCGUUGUUCGGAAUUACUGGGCGUAAAGCGCGCGUAGGCGGCUCUGUAAGUUAGAGGUGAAAGCCCGGAGCUCAACUCCGGAACUGCCUUUAAGACUGCAUCGCUAGAACGUCGGAGAGGUAAGUGGAAUUCCGAGUGUAGAGGUGAAAUUCGUAGAUAUUCGGAAGAACACCAGUGGCGAAGGCGACUUACUGGACGACUGUUGACGCUGAGGUGCGAAAGCGUGGGGAGCAAACAGG